AGUGAAGAAGAGAGCAUGGCUACAGCCACCCAAAGCUCCAACACUCAAGAGGCUGAGAAGGAAGGCUGAGAAUGCCGUGCUAGCACAUGCUGGAGAAUGUGAUAAAGACAAAAGUGGAAGCAGGAAGACCGUAAGCUGGGAAAGAAGAAAACCAAAAAACAUAAGUCCAGUCCCAUCACUUUUCUAAAGACAUUCAGCCAUGAGCAGUGGAGAAAAAACACAGUCCCUGUCCUUUCCAGCUUCAAGGAGCAUGUCAAGAAAAAUGUCUGAAACCUAGGUCACCAGUGCUUGUCUUGGCCCAAGUCCACCAGAAGACCCUGAAUCCUUCAGAGCAGCCUUGCUUUUCUUCUUUCUUGCCUUUCCUCUUGUCAAUAUCUAAGGUUUAUAUUAAAGAUAAUAUUGUUAAGUGUUUGAUAAAGGCAUUAUC
rnacentral:lncRNA from 1 species